UAACUUAACAAUAUUUUAAACAAUGGAAUUCAUUUCAUUUGCUUGUGGGCAUGCAUGCUCUGCUCUGGGAAUUAAUUUCCCCCUUUCAAUGUGUUUACAGAGAGUUAUAAUGGAAUGACACAGCGGGACACUAUGGCCAAGACUCAUACAGCCGAUCCUAUAGUUACGCAAUUUUCUCGCGAUUUGAUAUGCUGUGUAGGUCAAAGUUUUGGAAAACCCAAGCCAUUCUUGUUACACAGAGUCUGCGAGCUGGUGAACAGUCGGUUAAAAUAAAUGCCAUGGCCUCUCUGCAGGGUGGAAGGAGAGAUUAGCAGAACUGUGAUGAGAUCUGUAAUGACUAACAACUGCAUGAGCCAGUUUAGUGGCACUGGACAGAAAGGGAAAAUAGCCUUUAUUGGAACACCCCUGUACAAAAUCAUUCUUUCUGCUGCACGCAAAGCAUCAAAGAAAACUGUUUCGUUUGCGACAAUCAAACGAGAAGUUUUAGACGUCCUCAGAUUCGCCCCAUACCUUCCUUAAUUGAGGAACUAAAUUAUGCUAAGAAAAAAGGGGGAAAGAAGUCGAUACAAAUAGAUGAAUUUCCAUCAGAUUCGGAAUAAUUAAUAUUAUAUGGACUGAUUUUUCCAAAAAUACAAAUUUUAUUUGCAAA